rnacentral:rRNA from 1 species
AAUCAACGCUGGCGGCGUGCCUAACACAUGCAAGUCGAGCGAGAAAGGGGCUUCGGCCCUGAGUAAAGCGGCGCACGGGUGAGUAACACGUGGGUAAUCUGCCCUAGAGUGGGGAAUAACAUCGGGAAACCGAUGCUAAUACCGCAUACGAUCAUGGAGUCUUCGGAUUUUGUGAUGAAAGGAAAGGAGCAAUCCAAUCCGCUCUUGGAGGAGCCCGCGGCUGAUAGCUAGUUGGUAAGGUAAUGGCUUACCAAGGCAACGAUCAGUAUCCGGUCUGAGAGGACGGUCGGACACACUGGAACUGAGACACGGUCCAGACUCCUACGGGAGGCAGCAGUGGGGAAUUUUGCGCAAUGGGGAAACCCUGACGCAGCAACGCCGCGUGGAGGAUGAAAUCCCUUGGGAUGUAAACUCCUUUCGAUCGGGAAGAUAAUGACGGUACCGAGAGAAGAAG